GCGAGAGUGGCGGAACUGGAAGACGCACUGGACUUAGGAUCCAGCGGGUUAAACCGUAAGGGUUCAAAUCCCUUCUCUCGCACCA
rnacentral:tRNA from 1 species